rnacentral:snoRNA from 1 species
UCGGCCCCGAUCAAGACCAGUCGCUUGCAGUAGCUGCUGGUUUCAAAGGGCGCCUACAUGAACUCCUUCCUGUGGUCUGUUGAUUUCUCCCAGAGAAACAAAGGAGCUAAUCAUUUCAGUUGGAAGGAACACAA